rnacentral:rRNA from 1 species
AUAUUGGACAAUGGUGUCAACCCUGAUCCAGCUAUGCCGCGUGUGUGAAUAAGGUCAUCGGAUUGUAAAGCACGUUAAGUUGGGCGGAAGUGCUUUAGGUUAAUACCCUGACGUUCUGACGUUACCAACAGAUUAAUCACCGGCUAACUAUGUUCCUCCCGACGCGGUAAUACAGAGGGUGCAAGAGCAAAUCGGAAUUACUGGGCGUACAGUGCGUGUAGGUGGUUCAGUAAGAUGGGUGUGAAUGCCCCGGGCUUAACCUGGGAACUGCUUUCAUAACUGCUGAGCUAGAGUACGGUAGAGGGUAGUUGAAUUUCCUGUGUAGCGGUGAAAUGCGUAGAUAUAGGAAGGAACGCCAGUGGCGAAGGCGACUACCUGGACUGAUACUGACACUGAGGUGCGAAAGCGUGGGGAGCAAAC